rnacentral:rRNA from 1 species
UGGGGAAUAUUGGACAAUGGGCGGAAGCCUGAUCCAGCAACGCCGCGUGAGGGAUGACGGCCUUCGGGUUGUAAACCUCUUUCAGUACCGACGAAGCGAAAGUGACGGUAGGUACAGAAGAAGGACCGGCCAACUACGUGCCAGCAGCCGCGGUAAUACGUAGGGUCCGAGCGUUGUCCGGAAUUAUUGGGCGUAAAGGGCUCGUAGGCGGUUUGUCGCGUCGGGAGUGAAAACAGCGGGCUUAACUCGUUGCUUGCUUUCGAUACGGGGCAGACUAGAGGUAUGCAGGGGAGAAUGGAAUUCCUGGUGUAGCGGUGAAAUGCGCAGAUAUCAGGAGGAACACCGGUGGCGAAGGCGGUUCUCUGGGCAUUACCUGACGCUGAGGAGCGAAAGUGUGGGGAGCGAACAGGGUUAGAUACCCUGGUAGUCCACACCGUAAACGUUGGGGCGCUAGGUGUGGGGUCCUUUCCACGA